AGCGAACGCUGGCGGCAGGCUUAACACAUGCAAGUCGAACGGUCCUUCGGGAUAGUGGCGGACGGGUGAGUAACACGUGGGAACGUACCCUUAGGUUCGGAACAACACAGGGAAACUUGUGCUAAUACCGGAUAAGCCCUUCGGGGGAAAGAUUUAUCGCCUUUGGAGCGGCCCGCGUCUGAUUAGCUUGUUGGUGAGGCAAUGGCUCACCAAGGCCACGAUCAGUAGCUGGUCUGAGAGGAUGGCCAGCCACACUGGGACUGAGACACGGCCCAGACUCCUACGGGAGGCAGCAGUGGGGAAUCUUGCGCAAUGGGCGAAAGCCUGACGCAGCCAUGCCGCGUGGAUGAUGAAGGUCUUAGGGUUGUAAAAUCCUUUCACCGGGGACGAUAAUGACGGUACCCGGAGAAGAAGCCCCGGCUAACUUCGUGCCAGCAGCCGCCGUAA
rnacentral:rRNA from 1 species